GAUGAACGCUAGCUACAGGCUUAACACAUGCAAGUCGAGGGGAAACGGCAUCGAAAGCUUGCUUUUGAUGGGCGUCGACCGGCGCACGGGUGAGUAACGCGUAUCCAACCUGCCCAUCACUUGGGAAUAACCUUGCGAAAAUAAGACUAAUGCCCAAUGACAUCCCACGAAGGCAUCCGAAUGGGAUUAAAGAUUUAUCGGUGAUGGAUGGGGAUGCGUCUGAUUAGCUUGUUGGCGGGGUGACGGCCCACCAAGGCAACGAUCAGUAGGGGUUCUGAGAGGAAGGUCCCCCACAUUGGAACUGAGACACGGUCCAAACUCCUACGGGAGGCAGCAGUGAGGAAUAUUGGUCAAUGGGCGAGAGCCUGAACCAGCCAAGUAGCGUGCAGGAUGACGGCCCUAUGGGUUGUAAACUGCUUUUAUAAGGGAAUAAAGUGGGUCACGUGUGACUUUUUGCAUGUACCUUAUGAAUAAGGACCGGCUAAUUCCGUG
rnacentral:rRNA from 1 species